ACUGAAAGUAGAACAAAUGGACACGCGACCACCCAAUAUUUAGGCUGUGCCUCCCAGCUGGCGUGAUUCUGAGCUGAGUGCUUUUGCUACAACCACAUACAGAAAGUUUCAAGUUGCUUGAAGCUGUUGACAUCACAGACACCAAGAGUCCAUAUUUUCACCAGUAAAUGUCAGUGGUAAAAGUGAACUCCCUGACGCAAAGGACUCUGGAAUGAGCUCUAGCUUCAUGUCUUCAGUUCAAACAUAAAGAAAUAAGAAGAUUAUCUGCCACUGCUGAAAUGGAGGAGAGAAGGCUGACGUCUCCCACUCUCACUGUCUUCCAUGCAUUGCUACAUUCUGAACGUGAUGCCUGGGGGCCUCCCGGCUAACUGGAUGUGUAAAUAAGAGUUUUAGAUCACUUCAAGGUGUCAUUCAAAUUUUCAUCCUAGCUAACAGCGAGGAAAUUCACCAAAUCCACCCUGGGGCCAUUUUCCCAUCUCUUUUCCUGCUGACAGUUAAUGCGCCAGACAAAGGCACAGCAAGUCUCAUAUUAGGAUCUUUCAGGACUAACUCCCCCGUCCUUUCUCCAAUCUUAAAAAGAUUACUCUUCUCACUCAUGGAUUUAAAAGAAGAAAUACAAGGACUAAAAAGGUAAUAUCUAUUAUCAGACUUCUUUUCAUAGAUAUUCUUUUUCUUAUUUAUCUAUAUCUAAAAC